AUGGGGGUGCGUGGAGUGGCGCCCAGCUCCCCCGCCUCCCCACGGCCUCCCCUGCGCUGGCUCCGAUGCAGGGUGCGGAGAGGCAGCUGCCAUCAGCCCACUUCACAGAGGCGGAAACUGAGGCUCCAAGAGCGGAGCAGUUACCCCUUUGGGCCCCACUGCACCAACCACCCUUGGCAACCCUGCGUGCCCAGCCCGAAGCAUCCCAGGGGGAUGAAGGUGUCACCGAACCUUAGUUUACAGCGCCUCAAGCGAUGCGGCCUCGGAAUUCACCAGCUCUUUGUGGGUGGUGUUAGGACAACCCGGCCUGCCCUCUCCACAGGAGCGGCAGCCGAAGCUCAGAGGGCUGCUGCAUCUUGCCAUGCAAUUCCUCGUCCCCUGCUCCUGUCUCCCUCCACUCCCUGGGGCUUCUGGGGCCUCCAAGUCCACCCUCCAAACUCGCAGGCCCAGGAAACGCAGUCUGCCCCUCCCACGAGGUUGAGGUUGUUUUUCUUAUCUAAAUAAACUCUGCACAAACAUGGCCGCAUUACUCAUGUUGAAGUUAUUUGCAGCAGAGUGGUCCAGAGAUGGGGAAAUCAGUUCACACUGAAACCGUGUCUCAACCUGGUCAAGGCAAACUGGUGAUAGAGUUAAAAAGAAACUUUUUUAAGGGCCCGGGAUUUAGCUCAGGUGCCAAGGUCCCGAGUUCAAUCCCUGGUACCCCUCCCCCCAAAAAAA
rnacentral:lncRNA from 1 species